CUGGUAGUAUCUCUGGCUGCUGUUGACCUUGUUUUUGGAGUAAAACACGCUGAAUUAGUGAGGAUGACUCCUGCUCCUGUCAUCUCUAAGCUCCUCACACAUCUUUACCUGCACAUGAGGAAAAUCACUCCUGUAGGAUGCAGAUGUUCAGAGGGAGAUGAUGCCACAUCUGGUCCAGCCGAUGGAAGGUCUUGAAGUUCUCUGACUGGCCUCGACUGAAGAUGGUCGUCUCACUGGAUUUAAGGUUCAGAUGCUCAGUAACAAACUCCACCAAUGAGCCAACAGGGAAGCUUUAGGUUUAUUAAAUGUUGCUAUGAAGGUUUCACUGUUUUUCUUUGUGAAUGCAAUGUGCUCCAACUGAAACUUGAAUUAGAACUUAGAAGUAAAUCCUUCCAUCUGAAAGGAUUUAGUUGCAUUAAUAACCUCAUAACAUUCUAAUUUUUAUUCCAGUCUUGGUUGGAAAUAGAAUCUCUGUAUUGAUUCAGGUAAAAACUGAACUUCACAGCAUGUUGAAGCAAAACAACCAGAUGAAAACUGUGAUGGUGUUGGAUUGUCAGACUGUAAUGUUGCAGCUCAAAGCAGCUUUUCUAUCUCAGUUCAUUCUGACAUUCAGCUAUGAAUCAACACAGCAGAUGGUGAUCCAUGCUGUGGAAGUCUCACAUCUCCUGAUUUAAUGGAGCUGCUUUGCACUUUUUACACUGUUUAUUCACCAACACUUUAUUUAAUAAAAGUCCCAUCUAGUUUUUAUGAGGAAUGUGAUGUUUUAAUUCUCUGUGAAUAACUGCAGUCUAAUGCAACAGCUGGAGUUGUAACAUCUGUCCUGAUAUUGAUCAUGAAGUAUUGAUCAGAAUACUUAUGGUCAGCAGUCAUCCCUGAAGUUUUAUAUUAAAAUCUUUACUUGUGUUGUGAACUUUGGUAAGAAGCAGAAACGUUAGCGUUGCCAUGGAUACAUGAGUGUUAAAUUCUGUCCAUGUUUCCAUUUUGGGAAAUUCAGUCCAGUUCCACAAUGUGGAGGAAUUUAGUCUUACAAUCACAGACAACAAAUAUUAUCUGAAAGUUGGGUUAUUGUUGUUUAUCAGCACAAUACAAAAAGAUUAAUGUUAGAAAUAUUCCAGUUAAGACUCCAGAAUAUUAUGAUUUAUGUAAAUUUACCUCAAUAAUAUGAAUGUUCCGGUUAAGAUUGUGCAGUGAUAUUUAUUAUGCAAGUUUAGCUGAUUAAAGUUUAUGACUCUGCACUAAAAUAUUAUUUAAAUUGACAUAAUAAUAUUUAGGGUCAGACCCUACAGUAUUGAGAUUAAGAAAUCAAAUAUUCUAUAAAAUGUAAAUACACUGAACUAAUUUUGAUAUAUUUAAGUGAGACUCUACAAUAUUAUUUGACACAAAUCUAUCCUAAAUCAAAAUUUUAAUAAUUUUCAUGCCAAACAUUUACUGGACUGAUUUAAAUAUUAAAAUCACUUCUUUCUAAUCCUCUGCUGUAUGUUCAAACCUGAGGCCUUAAAUAGAAACACACAAGUAUCUGUUUGAAGGAACUUCUGCAGAGUUCUGGUUCCAGAACAUGAUGAUAGAAUUAUAGACAAACUUUAACAAAAGCUGCCUGAGAGUUUACAGGUUUUUAUGUUGGAUUUCUUCAGUAAUUUAAUGAGCGUUUUCAGCAAAAAUCAAUUGUUCAUUUGAUGAACUUCAUUUCCUAAAACAUCCAGAAUUGGAGCUCAUAUCUUUGGCAGCUGUAAAGUUUCUGCUCCUUCAAAGUUCACAAUGAAUUAAUUCCUAAAACACUCUCAAUGCUGGAGAGCGUUUGUGAUGCUGAAGCAGUGAUCAGUUUUUCUGUUUCUUCUCUGGAGAUGCACAAUGAGGGACGUCUGCAGAGACUGAGAAGGAGUCUCACCACAUCCUGACAUGAGGAAAAAGACUUUAUUGAAGACUACAAUGAGAAAAACUAUCAGACAGCAGACGGCUGCAUUCAAGUCUGUAGAUGCUGAAUUCAUGAUGAAUCAUCUGGCACUAGAGAGGAAGACCAUCAAACAUCCACGUCAGCUGAUGGAGGUCCAAGAGUCUCACCGAACAAACAACCUACAGAGUGAAGACGAAUCUGAUUGGACGGCCUCCUAUUCAGCCACAUGUGUGAACAAAUGCCUCUAAGCUGAUUUGUUUUCUACAAUAAAUCUAGUUUGAGUCCUA
ensembl:lncRNA